rnacentral:RNase_P_RNA from 1 species
UCGCGGCUGGCAGGCCGAAAGGUGCCAGGUGAGGAAAGUCCGGGCUCCACAGGGCAGGACGCCGGAUAACGUCCGGCGGAGGCAACUUCAGGGACAGUGCAACAGAGAUAUACCGCGUUAGCAAUGAGCCGAGUAUACCCGGCAGGCAGAAAGCCUGAAUGAAAAAUUUACUUUUCGAACAGGCUUUGUGGCUGUCGGGUUGCGCUGCGAAUGCCGCGUAACCCGGGAUUGCGCAGCAAUCUCAGGUAGACUGGGCUCAUUGCUAACGUAAGGGUGGAAAGGCAGUGUAAGAGACUACCGUCCGUCUGGUAACAGGCGGAGCCAUGUAAACCCCGUUCGGAGCAAGACCGAAACGAGACUUAACCCGGCCCGGGUGUCUCAGGUGGGUCGCUUGAGCCUGUCGGCGACGGCAGGACUAGAUAGAUGAACAUCCAAUGACAUAACCCGGCUUAUCGCUUUGCC